rnacentral:rRNA from 1 species
GAUGAACGCUGGCGGCGUGCCUAAUACAUGCAAGUCGAGCGAACAGACGAGGAGCUUGCUCCUCUGACGUUAGCGGCGGACGGGUGAGUAACACGUGGAUAACCUACCUAUAAGACUGGGAUAACUUCGGGAAACCGGAGCUAAUACCGGAUAAUAUAUUGAACCGCAUGGUUCAAUAGUGAAAGACGGUUUUGCUGUCCCUUAUAGAUGGAUCCGAGCCGCAUUAGCUAGUUGGUAAGGUAACGGCUUACCAAGGCGACGAUGCGUAGCCGACCUGAGAGGGUGAUCGGCCACACUGGAACUGAGACACGGUCCAGACUCCUACGGGAGGCAGCAGUAGGGAAUCUUCCGCAAUGGGCGAAAGCCUGACGGAGCAACGCCGCGUGAGUGAUGAAGGUCUUCGGAUCGUAAAACUCUGUUAUUAGGGAAGAACAAAUGUGUAAGUAACUAUGCACGUCUUGACGGUACCUAAUCAGAAAGCCACGGCUAACUACGUG